rnacentral:rRNA from 1 species
GACGAGAGGGGCGAGCGUUAUCCGGAAUAAUUGGGCGUAAAGGGUCCGUAGGCGGUAAUUUGUAUGCUUUUAGUAAAAGGCAAAAGCUUAACUUUUGGAAUGCUUUAAGAACAGAAUUUACUAGAGUCUAGCAAAGGAUAGCAGAAUUCCAUGUGAAGGGGUGGAAUCCUAAGAUAUAUGGAGGAAUGCCAGUUGCGAAAGCGGCUAUCUGGGUUAGAACUGACGUUGAGGGACGAAAGCGUAGGUAGCAAACAGG